rnacentral:rRNA from 1 species
GAUGAACGCUGGCGGCGUGCUUAACACAUGCAAGUCGAACGGGAUCCCAGGAGCUUGCUCCUGGGUGAGAGUGGCGAACGGGUGAGUAAUGCGUGACCGACCUGCCCCAUACACCGGAAUAGCUCCUGGAAACGGGUGGUAAUGCCGGAUGCUCCAGUUGACCGCAUGGUCCUCUGGGAAAGCUUUUGCGGUAUGGGAUGGGGUCGCGUCCUAUCAGCUUGAUGGCGGGGUAACGGCCCACCAUGGCUUCGACGGGUAGCCGGCCUGAGAGGGCGACCGGCCACAUUGGGACUGAGAUACGGCCCAGACUCCUACGGGAGGCAGCAGUGGGGAAUAUUGCACAAUGGGCGCAAGCCUGAUGCAGCGACGCCGCGUGCGGGAUGACGGCCUUCGGGUUGUAAACCGCUUUUGACUGGGAGCAAGCCCUUCGGGGUGAGUGUACCUUUCGAAUAAGCACCGGCUA